rnacentral:rRNA from 1 species
CUACGGGUCGCUCCAGUGAGGAAUAUUGGUCAAUGGCCGAGAGGCUGAACCAGCCAUCCCGCGUGCAGGAUGACGGCCCUAUGGGUUGUAAACUGCUUUUCUACGCCAAGAAAUCUGAUUACGAGUAAUUAGUUGACGGUAGCGUAGGAAUAAGCAUCGGCUAACUCCUGCUGCCAGCAGCCGCGGUAAUACGGAGGAUGCAAGCGUUAUCCGGAUUCAUUGGGUCUAAAGGGUGCGCAGGCGGGCUUGUAAGUCAGUGGUGAAAUACUGCCGCUUAACGGUAGAACUGCCAUUGAUACUGCAAGUCUUGAAUAUGGUUGAGGUAGGCGGAAUGUGUUGUGUAGCGGUGAAAUGCAUAGAUAUGACACAGAACGCCGAUUGCGAAGGCAGCUUACUAAGCCAUUAUUGACGCUGAGGCACGAAAGCGUGGGGAGCGAACAGGAUUAGAUACCCUGGUAGUC